CACCAUGCCCUCCUGCGUCGCCGUCGCCCACCGCCUGGGCACACUUCGCUAGACCCUGGACUGCCACUUCACUUUUAGAUUUCCUUGAAGUAGCCUCCCUGGCCGGGGUUUCUGGGGUGAGACACUGGCACCUGCUGCCCCCAAGCCGGGAGUUAGGUGACCUGAGAAGGGAAGAGUAGGUGUCCUCCCUGUGCCACCACCACUGGCCAGGCGUCAGCAAUCAGCGUGAGCAUCUGAGCAUUUGCCUGCCUCGAGGCAGCUUGGCCUGGACAUCUGAAGCACGUUAGCUGCCUCGUCCCCAGGGGCUGGCCCUGCUUCAAGAAUUAUCCCAGACAGAGCCACCGAGGAUGAUGCAAACAAAGACCAGCUGUUCCCUGAGGAAUGAGCCUUGAGCGCAGAUCCUGGAAGACAGCCCUAGACCGGAUUCUGGAGAGGCCUGGCGUCUCUUUCAGAACAGCAGAGCUUCCGCUCCAACGAAACUGUUUAAGUAAGUGCGGGAUAUGGUAGGAAAUUCUACUGGCCCGGAGUGAGUCCGGAGCCCACAUCCAGCCCUGCCUGGCCUGUGGACUGACCGUGUGACCUUAGGCCGGUCCCUGCCCUCUCCGUUGCUCCCACUGUACAGUGAAGACUUGGACUUGACCGAGUGGUUUCCCCUCAGCCUAUGCCAAUCUGUUGGCUUCUCUUGGGCAAGGACCACGCCUUCUCCUCUUCACCGAACCGUAGAAUUUAGAAUCACAGGGCAGGAUUCAAGCUCUCCAAGACCAUUGCUCCCUACCUGUGUGACCCUGGGAAGGGCACAUACCACUCUGCGCUCUGCUCCACUGUGGAAAGACACAGAUAAGAGUAUUCGUCCCCUGUGUCUCAGGGCUGCCAUAGAUCCCAUGGGAGGUGGAUCUUUAAGACCUCUGGAAGACAGCGGGGUACUCUACUGGGCUAUUACCUGGGGGUGGCCCCUGCCUGCUCAGUGCCUGGCUUCAUCCUGGCUCAGGGGGUCGGGCCCCAGCUUCUCGAUGGAGCCAUUGCCUGCCCAUGGGCUCACCAAGCCUGGCAGGUGGGUGGACCCUGUGCCCAGCCCACCGUGUGAAGUGUCGGUAAUGUUGCUUCGGGGCCCCUGACAACAUGAAGAGCAAUUGCCAUGUUGGAGCUCGCGCACACACAGAGCUAAGGCCGUGUUGGAGCUCGCACCCACACAGAGCUAAGGCCGUGUUGGAGCUCGCACCCACACAGAGCUAGGGCCGUGUUGGAGCUCGCGCACACACAGAGCUAGGGCCGUGUUGGAGCUCGCGCACGCACAGACGUAGGGCCGUGUUGGAGC